GAUGAACGCUGGCGGCGUGCCUAAUACAUGCAAGUCGAGCGAACAGAUGAGGAGCUUGCUCCUCUGACGUUAGCGGCGGACGGGUGCGUAACACGUGGAUAACCUACCUAUAAGACUGGGAUAACUUCGGGAAACCGGAGCUAAUACCGGAUAAUAUAUUGAACCGCAUGGUUCAAUAGUGAAAGACGGUUUUGCUGUCACUUAUAGAUGGAUCCGCGCCGCAUUAGCUAGUUGGUAAGGUAACGGCUUACCAAGGCAACGAUGCGUAGCCGACCUGAGAGGGUGAUCGGCCACACUGGAACUGAGACACGGUCCAGACUCCUACGGGAGGCAGCAGUAGGGAAUCUUCCGCAAUGGGCGAAAGCCUGACGGAGCAACGCCGCGUGAGUGAUGAAGGUCUUCGGAUCGUAAAACUCUGUUAUUAGGGAAGAACAAAUGUGUAAGUAACUAUGCACGUCUUGACGGUACCUAAUCAGAAAGCCACGGCUAACUACGUG
rnacentral:rRNA from 1 species